rnacentral:rRNA from 1 species
UACAGAGGUCUCAAGCGUUGUUCGGAUUCAUUGGGCGUAAAGGGUGCGUAGGUGGUUGGGUAAGUCAAAUGUGAAAUCCCGGAGCUCAACUCCGGAACUGCAUUCGAUACUGCCCGGCUAGAGGAUUGGAGAGGAGACUGGAAUUCACGGUGUAGCAGUGAAAUGCGUAGAUAUCGUGAGGAACACCCGUGGCGAAGGCGGGUCUCUGGACAAUUCCUGACACUGAGGCACGAAGGACAGGGGAGCAAACGGG